rnacentral:Y_RNA from 1 species
GGCUGGUCUGAGUGCAGUGGUGUUUACAACUAAUUGAUCACAACCAGUUACAGAUGUCUUUGUUCCUUCUCUAAUCCUAUUGCUUCACUUGACUAACCUUAA